rnacentral:rRNA from 1 species
AGUGGCGAACGGGUGAGUAACACGUGGGUGAUCUGCCCUGCACCUCGGGAUAAGCCUGGGAAACUGGGUCUAAUACCGGAUAGGAGCCAUUUUUAGUGUGAUGGUUGGAAAGUUUUUUCGGUGUAGGAUGAGCUCGCGGCCUAUCAGCUUGUUGGUGGGGUAAUGGCCUACCAAGGCGGCGACGGGUAGCCGGCCUGAGAGGGUGGACGGCCACAUUGGGACUGAGAUACGGCCCAGACUCCUACGGGAGGCAGCAGUGGGGAAUAUUGCACGAUGGGCGCAAGCCUGAUGCAGCGACGCCGCGUGGGGGAUGACGGCCUUCGGGUUGUAAACUCCUUUCGCUAGGGACGAAGCUUUUUGUGACGGUACCUAGAUAAGAAGCACCGGCUAACUACGUGCCAGCAGCCGCGGUAAUACGUAGGGUGCGAGCGUUGUCCGGAAUUACUGGGCGUAAAGGGCUCGUAGGUGGUUUGUCGCGUCGUCUGUGAAAUUCCGGGGCUUAACUCCGGGCGUGCAGGCGAUACGGGCAUAACUUGAGUACUGUAGGGGUAACUGGAAUUCCUGGUGUAGCGGUGAAAUGCGCAGAUAUCAGGAGGAACACCGAUGGCGAAGGCAGGUUACUGGGCAGUUACUGACGCUGAGGAGCGAAAGC